rnacentral:lncRNA from 1 species
AAUAAUCAAGUACAUUUUUCAAGAUACUAUGCCCUAAUAACAAAGUGCAUACAUGUCUUAAUAAGAAAAGCUGAAAAUACAAUGUUGUAACAAAAAGAAAUAAAAGUAUGACACCUUAUAAACAAACAAACUUUUACUACUGUUGAGAGAAAUUUGAGAAACGAAUAGUAAAAGAUGUAAAGAACAAGCUAUUUAUAAAUUUUAUAGCCCCCAACUAACUCUAAUCAAUAAUAAUAGUACACAGUAAAAAAAAUAUACAUCCCCCCUUCAAAACCUAGUACAAAACCUGUACUUUUUUUUAACAGAAAGGGCAAUGAAGUAGUUACUUUCCAAAAUAAUAUGAGUAUAGAGUUGAUAAUCAAGCAAAUAUUCUAGAAGUUGAAGCUACACAAGCAUUAGAAGGGAUUAAGGAAUUUGUGUUAAUGUUCUUG